GCAGGCCACCUUAUCCGUUGUGGGUCAAGCUUUUCUUUAUCGUGCGGGGAAAAUAUGAUAGCGACACACAACGCCUUUCGGUCCACCCGUGUAUCUUUUCCUGUUUUUGGGACACAUGUCGCACCUUCAACUACUUUACAGAUUUAAAAUAAAUAUGCAAGGAAAGAACCGCUUAAAUAAUCCGCUAUACUUGCCGCUGGUACACGAGUCUGAAAAAAGCUGUUACAGAUCACAUUUGGACUCAUUGUAACCAUCCAGAUCAAAAUUAAUGCCUAUGAUUAUUUUGAAAAAAAUAUGAUAAAGAAUCUUUAUAGAAUCAUAACAAAAUUCAAGAGACAGUCAACCAUUUCAUGUAUAUGGUACUAAUUAAUUUCUGCAAGUCACACUAAUUCACUUAUAAUCCUGGCAAGAGAAAACCCCUUCGUUGUCUCCUGACAUUAUCCAAUAA
rnacentral:lncRNA from 1 species